rnacentral:lncRNA from 1 species
UAGUCUAUGCUAGACUUUACAUAUCUCGCACCUCGCUCGUACCCCUGAAAGGAAAACAAAUGGAGUGGAAUGAGCUAAAAGCCCAGUGAGGUUCCAAAUAGCAAAUUGACCAUUAUUUAUAAGUACGAGUUUUCGUAUAGCAAAGUAACGAGCAUAAAGUGUUCAUGAAGUGUUCAUAAAUGUGAACAGUAACACGUCAAGUAGCAAUCUUAAAAUGAGCGAAUGUAGAAAGUUUUUUCAAAAGAAACAAUAAUCCAACAAACAAUAAGUAUUCCAAAGCAUAAGGAUACGGAUGGCUCUCAGGAGCCAAAUUCCCCUUUGCAUUACCAGAAGCUUGAUCACGUAGUAGUUGACACUCCGUCAACUUUCAAGUAAGUAACCAAUCCAGUAGAACACCACUUAAACGACUCUCCGUCCACCGUUCAACCCCCAGCUGGGCCCAAAAUCCUCAAGAACAUGGGUGGUAAUACUCGAGUAUACCGAUUAGUCGAGGAGAUAUCACUCCACUCGACAAUACAAGAGACCCAGGGUUCGUUACCCAAUCGACCAAGCCCUUGCCGGCUCGACUAGAGUAACUCGCCACAGGGUUUCUGGAAUUCCAGGAAGUGCGCGCAUCAUAAUCAAGUAUAUCAAGUCAAUUGCAACAAUAAACAAGUAUAUCACGUAAGGGCAAGUGCGAUAAAGUACACUCUUGCCCUUACAAUUCACGUAUAUAACAUGUAAUCGGAUUGGUCACGUAUCAAGUUCAAUUUGGUAUUUGAAAGCACUCACCAAAAGAUAUAGUGCCUUUACUGGUCACUUUCAGGUUAUACUCCGGGUUCGGAGUCCAAAUCUGCGAUAAAACUCAGUUUGAGAACUUUGAAACAUGACUAAGAUUCGAAACUUAGACGUUUCGUUCAAUAAAAUCAAGAAAUUGAAAUUCACUCGGAUGGUAGUCGUGAAACACUUGCUCGCUUUUUAAAUGGUAAAACUUUGUAACAUUUAUACUUGAAAUUGUCUUGCAAGUUGAAGUACAAGGAAAACAUACUUCGAGCAAUCAUUAUUUCAUUUCUCAAGGGUACAAGUUCGGCCAAGUCCUUACUUAUAUACCUCGAAACAAGAAGACUCAAGUACCCUAGAUGGUUCAAGUACUAUUCAUAUCAAUUCGACCCAAGUCGCAAGUGUAUUUAUAUAGUCCUCGAGCGUAAAUUCGGGCAGCAUGCCCUUUGUGUUUACCUAAUUUUCCAGCCUUUUAGGCUUCAUUGUUUUUCUCAAACACAACCCAACAUUACAUAUCUCAACAAUUCAAGCCAAAAGCCGUUCCAUAGGCUCACAAUAUCAUAAAAACAAGAUUCACAACAAUUACAAGUGCAGAAAUUUAACUUAGUACAAGACAGAUUUGACGUACAAUUGCGGAAAUAACAUAUCCGAGGCUACGCUUAUUGGAUUGAGGCAUAACCUAUGCCGUUUCGAAGCUAAGACACAGGGCUACAAUAUUCAUGAGGUCACUUAGUCCAGUUUCUAAUGUAACUUGGUCAAAUUCUCGGAUUACUAAACCAGAAACCAAAUCGUCGGCUGUUUAAACGCAGAACACUGUAAUGGACAAAACUCAGUGUACACAAGUCCGAAUCAGGUGUUCUUAGAGGCAUUUUAAAGCUACUUCAGAGCACUACAACUUUCAUGUUUUGGUCCAGAGCUAAAUCAGAAUGGAUCCUGGUCAAAAAUCAUGAUAAACUGGACUCAACUGAAGAAACGGAAUACUGGGAAAUUCUUAAAGCAGUAGGGGUAUUUUGGACUUUUCACGUUCUGUGUUGCUCCGAUUGAGCUGAAAUUUUGUAGGCACCUAUAAAACACCAUUCUCUACAACUUUCCUUCUUUGACCAAAGGCCAAUUCGGCCUCUAACAUACAGAUACAAUUUCGGACAGAAUGCUUGGGAAAUUUUCCAGAAAUCUGGAAUUUUUAGCUCUAAGUGUAGUUUCCUCAAAUUUCUGGUUCCAAUCACCACUAAACAACCUUAUAUAACUUUAAUUGCAACAUUCAUGCAUCAUACAUCAACUUGAGCAGAAAAUCAGGAACCCUAGUUCAUCAAAUAAAUUGGGGAAAACUACUAAAACAUGCUAAUCAUCCAUAAUCUCACCCUAAAAUCAAGUUGCCCAUCUUAAUUUAACCAAAUUAAAAGCAAAACUUGGAGAGAUAAUCUCUCUUACCUUGAGUAGAGGUCACUAUGAGUAGUCCAAGCUUCCUUCCUUCAAAAACUUACCACAAAUCAACACUUAGUCACUCAAGAACAAGUUUAAUCGGUUUACUUUGUUUAUUUUCUCACUAAGUUGUUGGAUUUGAAGAUGAAAUGGAAGGUUUGCUCUCUUGUUUUUCCUCUCUCUCACUCAC